GGAUGAGCUCAAAUUUAAAAUCUGGCUGGUUUACUAGUCCGAAUUGUAGUUUAUAGAAGCGUUUUCGGUGGCAGCCUGGGUAUAAAUCCUUUGGAAUAGGGUAUCAUAGAGGGUGAGAAUCCCGUCUUUGACUCAGUGCAUGCUACUAUGUGAUACGUUUUCAAAGAGUCGAGUUGUUUGGGAAUGCAGCUCAAAAUGGGUGGUAAAUUUCAUCUAAGGCUAAAUAUUGGCGAGAGACCGAUAGCGAACAAGUACCGUGAGGGAAAGAUGAAAAGAACUUUGAAAAGAGAGUUAAACAGUGCGUGAAAUUGUUGAAAGGGAAACGUUUGACACCAGUUAUGCGGGUGGAAAAUCAGUCUUUUGCAAUGGGGAGUUGUGGGCGUUCAGACCGCAAGGCUGGCGUUUGCUUCAUCUUUGUUGUAAGUGAUGCACUUUUUCAUUUGCAGGUCAACAUCAGUUUGCUUUGCUGGACAAAACCCCAAGGGAAGGUGGCAGCUUAGGCUGUGUUAUAGCCCUGGGGCGAUACAGUGGAGUGGACUGAGGUUUCGCAGUGUGUGCUCUCGGGCAAGGCUGACUGGGUGCUAUGGGAUCGUUCGGCGUACAAUGCAUGCAUUUUGCGUCGUGUCUUUUUCAUACUCGCUCAACUCGGCUCUUCCACGCUUAGGAUGUUGACUUAAUGGUUU
rnacentral:rRNA from 2 species